rnacentral:tRNA from 1 species
GGCGGUAUCGUCUAGGGGACCAGGACGUAGCCCUCUCAAGGCUAAAACCGGGGUUCGAAUCCCCGUACCGCUACCA